rnacentral:rRNA from 1 species
UAGGGAAUCUUCGGCAAUGGACGAAAGUCUGACCGAGCAACGCCGCGUGAGUGAAGAAGGUUUUCGGAUCGUAAAACUCUGUUGUUAGAGAAGAACAAGGACGUUAGUAACUGAACGUCCCCUGACGGUAUCUAACCAGAAAGCCACGGCUAACUACGUGCCAGCAGCCGCGGUAAUACGUAGGUGGCAAGCGUUGUCCGGAUUUAUUGGGCGUAAAGCGAGCGCAGGCGGUUUCUUAAGUCUGAUGUGAAAGCCCCCGGCUCAACCGUGGAGGGUCAUUGGAAACUGGGAGACUUGAGUGCAGAAGAGGAGAGUGGAAUUCCAUGUGUAGCAGUGAAAUGCGUAGAUAUAUGGAGGAACACCAGUGGCGAAGGCGGCUCUCUGGUCUGUAACUGACGCUGAGGCUCGAAGGCGUGGGGAGCAAACAGG